UACGAAGGUCCCAAGCGUUGUUCGGAAUCACUGGGCGUAAAGGGUGCGUAGGCGGCGUGGUAAGUCAGAUGUGAAAUCCCGGGGCUCAACCCCGGAACUGCAUCCGAUACUGCCGUGCUAGAGGACUGGAGAGGUAACUGGAAUUCUCGGUGUAGCAGUGAAAUGCGUAGAGAUCGAGAGGAACACUUAUGGCGAAAGCAAGUUACUGGACAGUAUCUGACGCUGAUGCACGAAGGCUAGGGGAGCGAAAGGG
rnacentral:rRNA from 1 species